rnacentral:rRNA from 1 species
GAUAAACGCUGGCGGCGUGCAUGAGACAUGCAAGUCGAACGGACGAGCAAGCUUGCUUGCUCGUUAGUGGCGGACGGCUGAGUAACGCGUAGGUGACCUGCCCCGAAGUGGGGAAUAACUGCCCGAAAGGGUGGCUAAUACCGCAUGUGGUGCCGCGUUCGUUCGCGUCACCAAAGCCGCAAGGCGCUUCGGGAGGGGCCUGCGUCCGAUUAGCUCGUUGGUGGGGUAAUGGCUCACCAAGGCGACGAUCGGUAGGUGGUCUGAGAGGACGAUCACCCAGACUGGGACUGAGACACGGCCCAGACUCCUACGGGUGGCUG